AGUGAACGCUGGCGGUAGGCCUAACACAUGCAAGUCGAACGGCAGCACAGGAGAGCUUGCUCUCUGGGUGGCGAGUGGCGGACGGGUGAGGAAUACAUCGGAAUCUACUCUGUCGUGGGGGAUAACGUAGGGAAACUUACGCUAAUACCGCAUACGACCUACGGGUGAAAGCAGGGGACCUUCGGGCCUUGCGCGAUUAAAUGAGCCACUGUCGGAUUAGCUAGUUGGCGGGAUAAAGGCCCACCAAGGCGACGAUCCGUAGCUGGUCUGAGAGGAUGAUCAGCCACACUGGAAAUGAGACACGGUCCAGACUCCUACGGGAGGCAGCAGUGGGGAAUAUUGGACAAUGGGCGCAAGCCUGAUCCAGCCAUACCGCGUGGGUGAAGAAGGCCUUCGGGUUGUAAAGCCCUUUUGUUGGGAAAGAAAUCCAGCUGGCUAAUACCCGGUUGGGAUGACGGUACCCAAAGAAUAAGCACCGGCUAACUUCGUGCCAGCAGCCGCAGUAA
rnacentral:rRNA from 1 species